AAGUUAAUUAAUGAGUCUAAGGUAAUUAGUCAUCUGGGAGUUCAAUACUGUCGUCCAGAGGGUAUCCGACUGGCCGUAGAACUCAACAGCAAAAUACAACAUCUAUACUGCACUCAUAGCUGUUUAUAAAAAUUCUGUAAAUGCUAAAAAUAAACACCCUGUAUUCCUCAGUAUUUACGUUUUGACCAUCCGACGUGUCCUUGGAUAACAUCGACAUGUUUAAACUCAUUAAAGCAAAAAUCCUAUUGCUACUCUAGAGGUAAGAAAACAGAAACAUAUACUACCUUUUGCAUUGUAGGAAGUACAGGUAUCGUAAUUCAGCAACAACAAAAAUUGGUAUUUAAAACAAUAUUACUCAAAGCUUAUCUUGAGAAAUUCUGGUUAGAUACGGUUACUGUUGUUAACAACAGUUUUGAUGUUCUGAGUGACGCACUAACACUUUUGUAUAACCAUUCUAUUGAUGUAGGCAAGUAUUCUGAUACGUGUACUAAACAAAGGCCAAGGUUGUUCCCAUAUAUAAGAGUGGCGACCGAAAUGAUUAUCAUAAUUACAGGCCCAUGUCUGUACUAUCCGUAAUUAACACAGUCUUUGAAAAACUUGUUAGUGUUAGAGUCAAUUCUUUUUUAGAAAUGUUUUAGCUUUUUUCUUCCGAGCAACAUGGCUUUCGAGAAAAGCAAUCCACUUCUUCCGCUGUACAAAUUGCCACAAAAUGUAUUAAUUACGUGUUAAAAGAUAACCUUGUAACCUUCCCUGCUGGCAUCUUUCUAUACUAAAAAAAUCAUUUGACACGAUAAACCACAAGAUCGCGUUGACAAAAAUGGUUUCCAUGGUCAUGCCUUCAUUUUUUUUUUCAGUUUUGCAGCAGUUACCUGUCUUCACAAACACAAGCAGCUGUAGGUAACAAUGUUCCCUCCCAGCCUCUGUGUACCUCUAUAGGAGUCCCACAGAGCUCAGUUCACUUGUUACAUCCCAAACUGAGAUUGACCAGGGAGAAGGAUUUAGACAACUCCAAUCUUAGGAAGAUCAGUAAUGUAUAUGGUCAUAGGUCUGCAGCAUUUCAAGGAGAAGAUAUGGAAUUCUGUAGACACAAAUAGAGUGCACAAUAUUAAACCUGCCCUCACUA